AGUCACUUUCCCUUCGGGGCAUUGGAGACAGGUGGUGCAUGGUUGUCGUCAGCUCGUGUCGUGAGAUGUUGGGUUAAGUCCCGCAACGAGCGCAACCCCUAUUUCCAGUAGCCAGCAAGAAAGAUGGGAACUCUGGAGAGACUGCCCGGGAUAACUGGGAGGAAGGCGGGGAUGACGUCAAAUCAUCAUGCCCCUUAUGAUCAGGGCUACACACGUGCUACAAUGGCGUAAACAAAGGGAAGCGAAGUGGUGACACGAAGCAAAUCCGAAAAAUAACGUCUCAGUUCGGAUUGUAGUCUGCAACUCGACUACAUGAAGCUGGAAUCGCUAGUAAUCGCGAAUCAGAAUGUCGCGGUGAAUACGUUCCCGGGUCUUGUACACACCGCCCGUCACACCAUGGGAGUCGGAAAUGCCCGAAGUCAGUGACCCAACCGAGAGGAGGGAGCUGCCGAAGGUGGAGCCGGUAACUGGGGUGAAGUCGUAACAAGGUAGCCGUAUCGGAAGGUGCGG
rnacentral:rRNA from 1 species